rnacentral:rRNA from 1 species
GCUAGUUGGUGGGGUAAAGGCCUACCAAGGGGACGAUCUGUAGCGGGUUUGAGAGGAUGAUCCGCCACCCUGGGAAUGAGACACGGCCCAGAUUCCUACGGGAGGCAGCAGUGGGGAAUAUUGGACAAUGGGCGCAAGCCUGAUCCAGCCAUGCCGCGUGUGUGAAGAAGGCCUUUUGGUUGUAAAGCACUUUAAGCGAGGAGGAGGCUACUUGGAUUAAUACUCUAGGAUAGUGGACGUUACUCGCAGAAUAAGCACCGGCUAACUCUGUGCCAGCAGCCGCGGUAAUACAGAGGGUGCGAGCGUUAAUCGGAUUUACUGGGCGUAAAGCGUGCGUAGGCGGCUUCUUAAGUCGGAUGUGAAAUCCCUGAGCUUAACUUAGGAAUUGCAUUCGAUACUGGGAAGCUAGAGUAUGGGAGAGGAUGGUAGAAUUCCAGGUGUAGCGGUGAAAUGCGUAGAGAUCUGGAGGAAUACCGAUGGCGAAGGCAGCCAUCUGGCCUAAUACUGACGCUGAGGUACGAAAGCAUGGGGAGCAAACAGGAUUAGAUACCCUGGUAGUCCAUGCCGUAAACGAUGUCUACUAGCCGUUGGGGCCUUUGAGGCUUUAGUGGCGCAGCUAACGCGAUAAGUAGACCGCCUGGGGAGUACGGUCGCAAGACUAAAACUCAAAUGAAUUGACGGGGGCCCGCACAAGCGGUGGAGCAUGUGGUUUAAUUCGAUGCAACGCGAAGAACCUUACCUGGUCUUGACAUAGUAAGAACUUUCCAGAGAUGGAUUGGUGCCUUCGGGAACUUACAUACAGGUGCUGCAUGGCUGUCGUCAGCUCGUGUCGUGAGAUGUUGGGUUAAGUCCCGCAACGAGCGCAACCCUUUUCCUUAUUUGCCAGCGGGUUAAGCCGGGAACUUUAAGGAUACUGCCAGUGACAAACUGGAGGAAGGCGGGGACGACGUCAAGUCAUCAUGGCCCUUACGACCAGGGCUACACACGUGCUACAAUGGUCGGUACAAAGGGUUGCUACCUAGCGAUAGGAUGCUAAUCUCAAAAAGCCGAUCGUAGUCCGGAUUGGAGUCUGCAACUCGACUCCAUGAAGUCGGAAUCGCUAGUAAUCGCGGAUCAGAAUGCCGCGGUGAAUACGUUCCCGGGCCUUGUACACACCGCCCGUCACACCAUGGGAAUUUGUUGCACCAGAAGUAGGUAGUCUAACCGCAAGGAGGACGCUACC